rnacentral:rRNA from 1 species
GACAGAGGGUGCAAACGUUGCUCGGAAUCACUGGGCGUAAAGGGCGUGUAGGCGGGAAGGCAAGUCAGAUGUGAAAUCCCUGGGCUCAACCCAGGAACUGCAUUUGAAACUCCCUUUCUUGAGUGUCGGAGAGGAAAGCGGAAUUCCUGGUGUAGAGGUGAAAUUCGUAGAUAUCAGGAGGAACACCGGUGGCGAAGGCGGCUUUCUGGACGACAACUGACGCUGAGACGCGAAAGCGUGGGGAGCAAACAGG